GAGUUUGAUCCUGGCUCAGAUUGAACGCUGGCGGCAGGCCUAACACAUGCAAGUCGAGCGGUAACAGAUCCAGCUUGCUGGAUGCUGACGAGCGGCGGACGGGUGAGUAAUGCAUAGGAAUCUGCCCGAUAGUGGGGGAUAACCUGGGGAAACCCAGGCUAAUACCGCAUACGUCCUACGGGAGAAAGGGGGCUCCGGCUCCCGCUAUGGGAUGAGCCUAUGUCGGAUUAGCUAGUUGGUGAGGUAACGGCUCACCAAGGCAACGAUCCGUAGCUGGUCUGAGAGGAUGAUCAGCCACAUCGGGACUGAGACACGGCCCGAACUCCUACGGGAGGCAGCAGUGGGGAAUAUUGGACAAUGGGGGAAACCCUGAUCCAGCCAUGCCGCGUGUGUGAAGAAGGCCCUCGGGUUGUAAAGCACUUUCAGCGAGGAAGAACGCCUAGCGGUUAAUACCCGCUAGGAAAGACAUCACUCGCAGAAGAAGCACCGGCUAACUCCGUGCCAGCAGCCGCGGUAAUACGGAGGGUGCAAGCGUUAAUCGGAAUUACUGGGCGUAAAGCGCGCGUAGGUGGCUUGAUAAGCCGGUUGUGAAAGCCCCGGGCUCAACCUGGGAACGGCAUCCGGAACUGUCAAGCUAGAGUGCAGGAGAGGAAGGUAGAAUUCCCGGUGUAGCGGUGAAAUGCGUAGAGAUCGGGAGGAAUGACCAGCGUUUGGGUGCCUAGCGCACUUUGUGGCGAAGUUAACGCGAUAAGUCGACCGCCUGGGGAGUACGGCCGCAAGGUAAAACUCAAAUGAAUUGACGGGGGCCCGCACAAGCGGUGGAGCAUGUGGUUUAAUUCGAUGCAACGCGAAGAACCUUACCUACUCUUGACAUCCUGCGAAUUUGGUAGAGAUACCUUAGUGCCUUCGGGAGCGCAGAGACAGGUGCUGCAUGGCUGUCGUCAGCUCGUGUUGUGAAAUGUUGGGUUAAGUCCCGUAACGAGCGCAACCCUUGUCCUUAUUUGCCAGCGCGUAAUGGCGGGAACUCUAAGGAGACUGCCGGUGACAAACCGGAGGAAGGUGGGGACGACGUCAAGUCAUCAUGGCCCUUACGAGUAGGGCUACACACGUGCUACAAUGGUCGGUACAAAGGGUUGCCAACUCGCGAGAGUGAGCCAAUCCCGAAAAGCCGAUCUCAGUCCGGAUCGGAGUCUGCAACUCGACUCCGUGAAGUCGGAAUCGCUAGUAAUCGUGGAUCAGAAUGCCACGGUGAAUACGUUCCCGGGCCUUGUACACACCGCCCGUCACACCAUGGGAGUGGGCUGCACCAGAAGUAGAUAGCUUAACCUUCGGGAGGGCGUUUACCACGGUGUGGUUCAUGACUGGGGUGAAGUCGUAACAAGGUAGCCGUAGGGGAACCUGCGGCUGGAUCACCUCCUUUCU
rnacentral:rRNA from 1 species